rnacentral:rRNA from 1 species
GAAAGAUGGCUUUGGCUAUCACUCUGGGAUGGACCUGCGGUGCAUUAGCUAGUUGGUAAGGUAACGGCUUACCAAGGCGAUGAUGCAUAGCCGAGUUGAGAGACUGAUCGGCCACAAUGGAACUGAGACACGGUCCAUACUCCUACGGGAGGCAGCAGUAGGGAAUCUUCCACAAUGGGCGCAAGCCUGAUGGAGCAACACCGCGUGAGUGAAGAAGGGUUUCGGCUCGUAAAGCUCUGUUGUUGGAGAAGAACGUGCGUGAGAGUAACUGUUCACGCAGUGACGGUAUCCAACCAGAAAGUCACGGCUAACUACGUGCCAGCAGCCGCGGUAAUACGUAGGUGGCAAGCGUUAUCCGGAUUUAUUGGGCGUAAAGCGAGCGCAGGCGGUUGCUUAGGUCUGAUGUGAAAGCCUUCGGCUUAACCGAAGAAGUGCAUCGGAAACCGGGCGACUUGAGUGCAGAAGAGGACAGUGGAACUCCAUGUGUAGCGGUGGAAUGCGUAGAUAUAUGGAAGAACACCAGUGGCGAAGGCGGCUGUCUGGUCUGCAACUGACGCUGAGGCUCGAAAGCAUGGGUAGCGAACAGGAUUAGAUACCCUGGUAGUCCAUGCCGUAAACGAUGAGUGCUAGGUGUUGGAGGGUUUCCGCCCUUCA